rfam:Salmo salar isolate Sally breed double haploid chromosome ssa24, whole genome shotgun sequence.
GUACUGUGGGGCUCAGUUGGUAGAGCAAAGCGCUUGCAAUGCCAGGGUUGUGGGUUAGAUUCCCACGGGGUACU